UUGCUGUUUCGCUGACGAGUGGCGGACGGGUGAGUAAUGUCUGGGAAACUGCCUGAUGGAGGGGGAUAACUACUGGAAACGGUAGCUAAUACCGCAUAACAUCGCAAGACCAAAGAGGGGGACCUUCGGGCCUCUUGCCAUCGGAUGUGCCCAGAUGGGAUUAGCUAGUAGGUGGGGUAACGGCUCACCUAGGCGACGAUCCCUAGCUGGUCUGAGAGGAUGACCAGCCACACUGGAACUGAGACACGGUCCAGACUCCUACGGGAGGCAGCAGUGGGGAAUAUUGCACAAUGGGCGCAAGCCUGAUGCAGCCAUGCCGCGUGUAUGAAGAAGGCCUUCGGGUUGUAAAGUACUUUCAGC
rnacentral:rRNA from 1 species